GCUAGCGUUGUUCGGAAUCACUGGGCGUAAAGGGCGCGUAGGCGGCCGAUCAAGUCGGGGGUGAAAGCCUGUGGCUCAACCACAGAAUUGCCUUCGAUACUGUUUGGCUUGAGACCGGAAGAGGUUAGUGGAACUGCGAGUGUAGAGGUGAAAUUCGUAGAUAUUCGCAAGAACACCAGUGGCGAAGGCGGCUCACUGGUCCGGUACUGACGCUGAUGUGCGAAAGCGUGGGGAGCAAACAGG
rnacentral:rRNA from 1 species